CGGAGGGUGCAAGCGUUGUCCGGAUUUAUUGGGUUUAAAGGGUGCGUAGGCGGUCUUUUAAGUCAGUGGUGAAAUCCUGCAGCUCAACUGUAGAACAGCCAUUGAUACUGAAAGACUUGAGUACAGACGAGGUAGGCGGAAUUUAUGGUGUAGCGGUGAAAUGCAUAGAUACCAUAAAGAACCCCUAUUGCGAAGGCAGCUUACUAGGCUGUAACUGACGCUGAGGCACGAAAGCGUGGGGAUCAAACAGGAUUAGAUACCCUGGUAGUCCACGCCGUAAACGAUGAUUACUCGAUGUUCGCGAUAUACAGUGAGCGUCCAAGCGAAAGCGUUAAGUAAUCCACCGUGGGAAGUACGAUCGCAAGAUUG
rnacentral:rRNA from 1 species